rnacentral:rRNA from 1 species
AACUAGCAUAUCAAUAAGCGGAGGAAAAGAAACCAACAGGGAUUGCCCUAGUAACGGCGAGUGAAGCGGCAACAGCUCAAAUUUGAAAUCUGGCUCUUUCAGAGUCCGAGUUGUAAUUUGCAGAGGGCGCUUUGGCGUCGGCAGCGGUCCAAGUUCUUUGGAACAGGACGUCACAGAGGGUGAGAAUCCCGUACGUGGUCGCUAGCCUUCGCCGUGUAAAGCCCCUUCGACGAGUCGAGUUGUUUGGGAAUGCAGCUCUAAAUGGGAGGUAAAUUUCUUCUAAAGCUAAAUACUGGCCAGAGACCGAUAGCGCACAAGUAGAGUGAUCGAAAGAUGAAAAGCACUUUGGAAAGAGAGUCAAAUAGCACGUGAAAUUGUUGAAAGGGAAGCGCUUGCAGCCAGACUUACCUGUAGUUGCUUAUCUGGACUUUUGUCCAGUGCACUCUUCUACGGGUAGGCCAGCAUCAGUUUGGGCGGUUGGAUAAAGGUCUCUGUCACGUACCUCCCUUCGGGGUGGCCUUAUAGGGGAGACGUCAUGCAACCAGCCUGGACUGAGGUCCGCGCAUCUGCUAGGAUGCUGGCGUAAUGGCUGUAAGCGGCCCGUCUUGAAACACGGACCAAGGAGUCUAACAUCUAUGCGAGUGUUUGGGUGUCAAGCCCAGACGCGUAAUGAAAGUGAACGGAGGUGGGAACCCUUUGGGUGCACCAUCGACCGAUCCUGAUGUCUUCGGAUGGAUUUGAGUAAGAGCAUGGCUGUUGGGACCCGAAAGAUGGUGAACUAUGCUUGAAUAGGGUGAAGCCAGAGGAAACUCUGGUGGAGGCUCGCAGCGGUUCUGACGUGCAAAUCGAUCGUCAAAUUUGGGCAUAGGGGCGAAAGACUAAUCGAACUAUCUAGUAGCUGGUUCCUGCCGAAUUUCCCUCU